rfam:Ananas comosus cultivar MD2 ACMD2_Scaffold_8153, whole genome shotgun sequence.
GGAUGCGAUCAUACCAGCACUAAAGCACCGGAUCCCAUCAGAACUCCGCAGUUAAGCGUGCUUUGGCGUGAGUAGUACUAGGAUGGGUGACCCCCUGGGAAGUCCUCGUGUUGCAUCCC